UACGUAGGGGGCAAGCGUUGUCCGGAUUUACUGGGCGUAAAGAGCGUGUAGGCGGCCACGCAGGUCCGUUGUGAAAACUGGAGGCUCAACUUCCAGACGUCGACGGAAACCGUGUGGCUAGAGUCCGGAAGAGGAGAGUGGAAUUCCUGGUGUAGCGGUGAAAUGCGCAGAUAUCAGGAAGAACACCAAUGGCGAAGGCAGCUCUCUGGGACGGUACUGACGCUGAGACGCGAAAGCGUGGGGAGCGAACAGG
rnacentral:rRNA from 1 species